rnacentral:rRNA from 1 species
CCUACGGGUGGCAGCAGUGAGGAAUAUUGGUCAAUGGACGAGAGUCUGAACCAGCCAAGUAGCGUGAAGGAUGACUGCCCUAUGGGUUGUAAACUUCUUUUAUAUGGGAAUAAAAUGUUCCACGUGUGGGAUUUUGUAUGUACCCUAUGAAUAAGGAUCGGCGAACUCCGUGCCAGCAGCCGCGGUAAUACGGAGGAUCCGAGCGUUAUCCGGAUUUAUUGGGUUUAAAGGGAGCGUAGGUGGAUUGUUAAGUCAGUUGUGAAAGUUUGCGGCUCAACCGUAAAAUUGCAGUUGAAACUGGCAGUCUUGAGUACAGUAGAGGUGGGCGGAAUUCGUGGUGUAGCGGUGAAAUGCUUAGAUAUCACGAAGAACUCCGAUUGCGAAGGCAGUUCACUGGACUGCAACUGACACUGAGGCUCGAAAGUGUGGGUAUCAAACAGGAUUAGAUACCCCAGUAGUC